ACACCGCUAGUCGUCCCAGUUUAGCCGCUGGCUUCGGAGUGGACCUGAGCAGAUCCCUGAGCUCCACCAAGGGCGAUGGAGUCAGCCAGAGGCAGCUGUCGCAUGGCCCGCGCCUUCGGGGCCGUGCUCCCCCUGAACUGGUUUGGAGACGCAUCGUCUCGGCAGCCCUCUAACAGUUCAGUGGGCAACGGAUCUGAGAGCACUCGCCCGACCUGGGGUCCCCGCAGCCUGGACGGCCUGGAGGGAGUGGCAGAGGCCGGAGCGGCGCUGGCACUGCGCGCUCUGAUCGCGGGCGCCUACCUGGCCCUGUGCGCUGUGGGGCUGGUGGGCAACGUGCUGGUGCUGGUUCUGGUGCGGUCCCAGCAGCGGCGCCGGCGAUCCCUGCUCAACUGCUUCCUACUCAACCUUGCAGCCACCGACCUGCAGUUCGUGCUGACACUGCCCUUCUGGGCCGUGGACAUGGUGCGCGACUUCAGCUGGCCCUUCGGGGGUGCCAUGUGCAAGGUGGUGCUCACGCUUACGGUGCUCAAUAUGUACGCUAGCGGCUUCUUCCUUAGCGCCAUGAGCGUGGCGCGCUACUGCGCGGUGGCGAGGGCGCUGCGCCCCCGCCGGCGGGGCACCCUGUGGGCUGUCUGCGUGUGCAGCUUGCUCUGGGCCACCGCAGUCCUGGCUACCGCACCCACCGCCCUAUUCGCCACAGCGGCCAGCAUUGGGGGCGAACGCUUGUGCCUGCUGCGCUUCCCCGACGGCGGUCCCGACUGGCUGGCCUUCUACCAUCUGCAAAAGAUCACCGUGGCCUUUGUGCUGCCACUGGUCACGCUGGGGACCUGCUCGCUGCUGCUUCUGCGCUUCCUGCGGCGGCAGCGGGUACGCUGGCCGUCUGGAGUCAGGCACCGACGUCGCUCCCGGGUUACCCGGGCGCUGGCAUGCGUGCUGCUGGUCUUCGUGCUCUGCUGGCUGCCCAACCAAGUGCUUACGUUCUGGGGGGUGCUGAUCAAGCUGAACGCGGUGCCCUGGGACCGCGCCUACUUCCUGGUGCAGGCCUACCUCUUCCCGGUGUCCAUCUGCCUGGCACACUCCAACAGCUGCCUCAACCCGCUACUCUACUGCCUGCUGCGCCGCGACUUCCGCCAGGGCCUGCAAGAGCUGUGCGGCUGGGCCAAGCACCCAGCGGACCUCCGACCCGGCUCUCCGGUAGCCGCGCCGCAGCUACGGGGCUCUCUGAUUAGGCCUGAACCCGGAGAACCACACCUCUCAGUAAGGGCCAUACGCCGCUCCGUCAGUACCAAGAGUGAUGGGGCAGAUUAGGCCAGUUGGUAUUGGAGUGAUGAUGUCAAGGGGCAGUGCCUGACUGGAGAAGCAGGCCCUUUGGCCGUGGAAAUUACUUAAGCCUGGGAGUUCAUCACUAACCUUCUGUGCGACCCAGGAGGUGAGCCCCUGCCCCUUGGAGCAGCCAGACCCCAGCGUCUCAGCCUUGGCAUGCUUUCUCUGAUGAAUUCUUCCUUGAAGAGGACAGGACGCCUCCCUGCACCCCUCGCCUGCGUCACACAGUCUGGCCUGUUUGCGAGACCCUCCUGACCCUGGCCGCCUUUCUCUCUUCCCUUCAGGACAGAGGGGCAGCUGAGCCUUCCUUUCUCUUCCAAGUCACCUCACCCCCAGGUCCUCCCUGGAGCGUUCUAAGUGUUGGAACACCAGGCGGAUGUUGCAGACCUUUUUUUAAUCCCAGCAUGCUCUCUGUGAAAGUUUUGGGGGCCCCCAUGUCCUGCUUUGCGUCCCUCCCUUGUGCGCCUUGAACCUUUUCUCUGUUUUGGCUCUUAGCACUCCACUCUGCCUGCCUCCCUGCCAUUCCUCUGCCCACCUUGGAGGACAAGGGCAGCCACACAGGUCUUCCUGGUCCCCUGUGCAGUGUGCUGCCCACACGAGGACAGCGAACUGGUUGCUGAGUAUGUUUCUAUUUCUUCUUCAGCUAUAAACUGUAAAUAUCUGUGUCUGAGUCUUGCUUGUAUUGCUUAUACAGUAGGCUCUCAAUAAAUGUUUGGUGAAUGAAUGAACACUGUUGUGUAAGUCCUCACUCUCCUGUUUGCCUGUGUAUGA